rnacentral:tRNA from 1 species
GCCUGGGGGGCUCAGUUGGUUGGGCGUCUGACUUCAGCUCAGGUCAUGAUCUCGUGGCUCGUGAGUUCAAGCCCCAUGUCAGGCU